rnacentral:rRNA from 1 species
GCUCCGCAAGGAGCAACCGGCGAACGGGUGCGUAACACGUGAACAACCUGCCCUCGUGUGGGGGAUAGCCGGGCUAACGCCCGGGUAAUACCGCAUACGUUCCUCGAGAGGAGUCUCUUGGGGAGGAAAGCUCCGGCGCACGGGGAGGGGUUCGCGGCCUAUCAGCUUGUUGGCGGGGUAAUGGCCCACCAAGGCGACGACGGGUAGCUGGUCUGAGAGGAUGGCCAGCCACAUUGGGACUGAGAGACGGCCCAGACUCCUACGGGAGGCAGCAGUGGGGAAUCUUGCGCAAUGGUCGAAAGACUGACGCAGCGACGCCGCGUGUGGGAGGACGCCUUUCGGGGUGUAAACCACUGUUGCCCGGGACGAACUGGUCGAUUCAUCGACCGUGACGGUACCGGGUGAGGAAGCACCGGCUAACUCCGUGCCAGCAGCCGCGGUAAUACGGAGGGUGCGAGCGUUGUCCGGAAUCAUUGGGCGUAAAGGGCGCGUAGGUGGCCCGGUCAGUUCGUG